GGGAGAGGAGCCCAGCCCCAGAAUUCCCAGGUGUUUCCAUUCAGUGAUCAACACUGAACACAGAGGACUCACCAUGGAGUUUGGGCUGAGCUGGGUUUUCCUUGUUGCUAUUUUUAAAGGUGUCCAGUGUGAGGUGCAGCUGGUGGAGUCUGGGGGAGGCUUGGUCCAGCCUGGGGGGUCCCUGAGACUCUCCUGUGCGGCCUCUGGAUUCACCUUCAGCAACUACGACAUGAAACGGGCCCGCCAGGCUCCAGGGAAGGGGCUGGAGUGGGUCGCACAAAUUAAUCAUAAUGGAGAUAGCACAAACUACGCAGACUCCGUGAAGGGCCGAUUCACCAUCUCCAGAGACAACGCCAAGAACUCGCUGUAUCUGCAGAUGAGCAGCCUGAGAGCCGAGGACACGGCCGUGUAUUACUGUGCGAGACACAGUGAGGGGAGGACCGAGUGA